rnacentral:lncRNA from 1 species
AUUAGUCUGAGGAAACAGACAGCAACAACGCUGAUUACAGCCACCGGCCUCAACAAUUUUUUUUUCUAACUAGCAAUUUCGAGUGCAAGUGCCACAGUGUCAGCUAAAGAAACACAACUGCGGGUUUUCUGCAGAGCAAAAUGGUUCUGAAAUGUCACUGAAUAGCUCACAAAGGACGCCAAUCUACGACAACAGAGACAUAAGCAUAUAGGAGAAAGGGUCCACACAUCCUCCUUUCAAAGUGUGGAGAAAAGAGAGAGAAAGGGAGAGAAGAGUCAUGGACCCUACUUUAUGGUUGCCAUGGAUGCAAGCCUCAUCUCCAUUCCUUUCUACUUUGAACAUAGCAAGUCCUGGAGGCUGCUGGGUCGUCUUCCAGCCACAAGGUGGCUCCCCCAAUCCCUUCUCUCAAGCCAAUCGAUGUACACCUUUGCUGAGUUCUCCAGGCGGACUACAAUUCAGAGCUAAUUAUGAUCUAUAAAUGCCAUUAUUUUCAUUGUGAAGUAAAUGGCUUAUGACCAAGACCCUGGUACACUAAGAUACAAUGCAAAAUUAGUCUUUAAAAAUAGGAGAAAGAAAAAUACCUUUGUAUUUGCCUAAUUUCUCUUCACCCAUCCUUCCAAAAGUACAACUGAGCUAUCCUUAGAGUAAAAUAAGAAAAAUAAUAAAAGGCUCCAGAGGAACCUAAUUUUGUUGUCAAUGAACAUAGUCAUAGACUAGACAAGGUCAAAUUUUAAGAAAAGUAUACAACUUAUUCUCACUUAAACUAGACCUACUUUUGGAUUUGAUAUUUUACCACAAGAGAGUUUUGAUGAGAAGACUUUGCAAAACUUUCUUAGAAGUCCCACAUCAUGCCAUCAUUGAAGAACAGUGAUCUCCAAUACUGCAAGGCUUUAAAAGGAGUGGAAAUAUUACAUAUUUCCUUUUUGUUGCUUAGCAAACAUGUUGCAUAUUUCAUAAAUGUGAUUUUUAUAGAAGACAUCAUAAUUUUCUACAGCUGAAAUAGGCAUAGAAAGACAAAUCAUUCAUCCAAUUACAUGGAAGGUCUUUCUAAAAGUCUGAGUCCUAAUUUCUCACAGUUUUUCAUUUUCUGUUCUGGAGAGAAGCUAUUUAACCUUUGGGCAAGUUUCGUUUUCCUUAUCUG